rnacentral:rRNA from 1 species
ACGAACGCUGGCGGCGUGCUUAACACCUGCAAGUCGAACGGAAAGGCCCCUUUGGGGGUACUCGAGUGGCGAACGGGUGAGUAACACGUGAGUAACCUGCCCUUGACUUCGGGAUAACUUCAGGAAACUGGGGCUAAUACCGGAUAGGAAUCCUUGCUGCAUGGUGGGGGUUGGAAAGCUUCGGCGGUUUUGGAUGGACUCGCGGCUUAUCAGCUUGUUGGUGGGGUAGUGGCUUACCAAGGCUUUGACGGGUAGCCGGCCUGAGAGGGCGACCGGCCACAUUGGGACUGAGAUACGGCCCAGACUCCUACGGGAGGCAGCAGUGGGGAAUAUUGCACAAUGGGCGGAAGCCUGAUGCAGCAACGCCGCGGGCGGGAUGACGGCCUUCGGGUUGUAAACCGCUUUCAGCAGGGGCGAAGCUUGUGGUGACGGUACCUGCAGAAGAAGCACCGGCUAACUACGUG